UACGGGGGGGGGCAAGCGUUGUUCGGAAUUACUGGGCGUAAAGGGUUCGUAGGUGGCUUGUUAAGUCAGACGUGAAAUCCCUCAGCUUAACUGGGGAACUGCGUCUGAUACUGGAUGGCUUGAGUUUGGGAGAGGGAUGCGGAAUUCCAGGUGUAGCGGUGAAAUGCGUAGAUAUCUGGAGGAACACCGGUGGCGAAGGCGGCAUCCUGGAUCAACACUGACACUGAGGAGCGAAAGCCAGGGGAGCAAACGGG
rnacentral:rRNA from 1 species